rnacentral:lncRNA from 1 species
AUGCGAGGCUGGGGCCGGUUGCCUACCGGCCGCUUCUCGCCGAGGCAGUCCAGACUUUUCCCCCGGCGGUGCCCGCUCCAAGACAGCAUCUGUCAACGCUCCUCUUCUCCCCUCCUCCUCCUGCCGGGCCGGGCUCCGCCGGCUGCGGCCGAGAGGACGCGGGACCCGGCGCGGUGAGCCCAUCAGCUGUCAGGCGAGCGGCGAAGCGGCUGGAGGGCGGCGAGAGACACACAAAGAACGCGGUGGGCGGCGGCGGCGAAAGGGGACGGCAACUCCUCCCCGCGCCCGCCGGUGCCACCGCCGGCCGUGCUUGUUCCGAGGCCGCGCAGACAAUGCGGCCGGGCUCGUCCCCGCGUGCCCCAGAGUGCGGAGCGCCCGCGCUCCCCCGACCCCAACUUGACCGUCUCCCGGCUCGCCCAGCCCCCUCCCGGGGUAGGGGCGCCCCCUCCCUCCGGUGGCCGGCGAAGGAAGUCGGUCCGCGGCCGCAGAUCCCGGCAACUUGCGAACCGGGAAAAGUUUGCGGCGCCUCCGCGGGGCGGCGCGACGCGGCCCGCCCCUCGCGUCCGCGGUCAUCGCGGGUGACUUUCUCGACUCGUCGUCAGCCGGGGCCGCAGCGCGGCCGGUGGGGACUGCGGGGCGGGCCGGAGUCCGUCCGAGGGCUCCCGCACCUCGGGCUGCGGAUUUCAGGUACUCCACUGGGCAUUUUCUCUUCAUGGAGCUUAUAGCAACAAAAGUGUUUUACAAAAGAACAUUAAAAUCUCCCCAGAUGCUCACUGCUCUGAUCAUUUCCCCUACAGCACCAGACAUGUUGGCAUCAUCUCUUAGUUGGGCCAUGUGGCCAGGGAACCCUUCAUGAAACCACCUCUGCAGUCCUGGAGAGUUGCUGUAGAAGAAGGAAAAGAGAGGAAGACAACACAACACAGGAGGGGAUAAGUACCUCUGGACACAAUGGAAGUAGUAGUUGUUGAGCAGAGGGAAAGGGAUAGGAGAAGGAUGUGGACUGCAGUGCUGCAGUGCCAGGUAAUAACUUUGAUCAUGUACCUCCUUGGCUCAGGUGCUGUCUCUUCUACUCUCCUCCUUACUUGUACUACCUUAUUUAGCACUUAAUUAUAUACUUUCUUGACUCACUUUGAGACACACUGAUUAUGUGGUCUGCCUCAAAGACAGAAUCCUAGUUUUGGAUUUUAGCAUUACUGAUCUAUAGCCUUGCAGGGGCUUAAGGAUGGCAGCUGUCUCUCUCCCUUGGGAUCUAGCUUUUGCAAAUAUUGAAGGGAAGAGAUUUCUUUGAUCUUAUAGGAAUAGAUCCACAGUUCCUCUCCAGAUUUGCUUUUAUAGAGAAGUGUGUGUCACCAAAACAAUGGAGAUACGGUCAGAGAGGCCCCUACCCCCAGAAUUUUAAUAUAAUUUUACUUUCUGGGGCAUUUAUUCUUGACAAAUACUUUCUCUCCUAUCAGCUCACUUGUUCCUCACAAAAACCCUAUAAGAUAUUAAUAUUAUUAAACAGACCCCUAUGAAGCACCUCAAGUCUUUCUCUCUUCCCACUUCCAUUCUUGCACACCUUUUGCUAGACUAGUCUCUGCGUUCAUCACAUCAGGUUUCUAAAAUAAAAGUCCCCUAAUAACUUUCUAUUUGUUCUCUCAUCAUAUUGAACCUUUUUUGCCUGGCUUAUAAGGUGGCCUUAAAACCCCAUUUUCCUCUAAACAUUGUCUCUGUAGUUCAGGAAUAUGGCAGGCUCAACACUAUGCUUGAGCCCAUAUUGCUUCCCUCAUUAGUGAUGCCUCCUCUCAGACCACCCAGAUUCUACUCAUUCUUCAAUUUCCAGCUUCUCCUUGGAGCCUUCCCAGAUCAUUAGCUUCUUAAAAAUCCCAGCUUUCUCUGAAUUCUGAUGGUAGCCCCCGUUAUUUGGACAAUUAUGUCCUGGUCUUAAAGUCCUAAUGGGAAAAAAAAGUACAUGAUGGACUUCAUGUAGAGAAGAAAGCACUGGACUGAGUUUUAAGACAGCUGCUAAGGAGCUGUGUGAGCCAAACCAGGUUACUUUACCUCUCUGGAUCUAUAUUUGCUGAUCUGUUAAGUGGAGACAAUUGGGUCAGAUAAUCUUGGUGGUCUUUGCUUAUUCUGAGGUUCUUGGACAACUUGGCCUAGUUCACGUGGGAUGGGAUUGAAGAUCUUACUGAGUUCUUGGAUGGAAAUGUCAGUAAUGGGCACUUAGUGCCUUCAGGACUUGUUCUAUACUAUCCCAGAAAUUUCUGAUGCUAAACUUGGCAAUUUUUAAAUGUCAUAUUCCUUUUCUCCAAACUCUUUAACCACAAGAAUUCAGGGAAGGUUAUGGGGGGUGACUUAGUUAUCUGGAUAAUACAUAUUGUGGACAAUAUAGCAUUAUCCUUGGGAAUGAUUUCAUAUUGUUGAAUAAAUAGGAUCAACUUCUUGAUAAACCUUAGUCCCAAGCAUUUCAUCUUCAUUGGAUAGUGUUACAUAGUAAUAUAUUUAUGUUUUCUUUUAAUCAUUUCAUAACUUGGAAAAUACUAACAUAGUCAAAACUCUAGGGUAGGUGAUACAUGAGUUUCUGUAGUAAUCUGGUUGGAGACAUGUUGUAAUUCUGUAUAUAUAUGUACAUUUAUCCCAUGCAUGUUAUGCCUAAACUAAGACGGAUACCCCUGAAUUAAGAGGUGCUGUUAUACAUUGACCAGGCUUAAGAAUAUCUCUUUAAAGUGUGUCGACAUUUAAUUGACCUUUGGAAGUUCAUUCUGUUAAUCAUACUCAAAGUGCUAAAGCUAUGGUUGACUGCUCUGGUGUUUUUAUAUUCAUUCGUGCUUUAGCAUAUAAAUUCUUCAGCAUAAUUGCUACUUAUUUAGCAAGAGUUUCCUUUAUUUGAAAAUGUGAGUUGUGCUUGUAUUUUUGUGUCUUUCUUUCUUUCUUUCUUUUUUUAAACUUUGCUUCAGGCUGGGUAGUGGUAGAGGUUUGAAUUAAAAUGUUUUCCUGUCAGUAGUUGUAUGAGGUGUGGCUUCUUAAUCUAGAAGUAAUGGAAAUUUCUUGCUUAAAUGAAGUGCACUUUUCUUCCUGCAGAAGUUAGAACUCUUUUAGACAAGCUUAACACUUCAAAACUGUAUAUCUUUAACAGAAACUUUUGGAAAUUUUUAAAUUCCAUUUGUGUAGAUUAAAAAUAUCAAUGCUAAUACUUUCUAUUAAAUAAGGAUUUAUCUAUUUUCAUAAAACCUCUAAUUAUAUUCCUUGAAUUGCUAUGAGUAGAAUUUUGUUGUAAACACAAUAUUUUUAAAAAGUCAAAUAUAUUUUAAAAAUCUUAACAUUAUAUUACUAUAACUUAGAGAACAGGUGUUUACAUGUUUAAAAUUUUCUAGGCCUUAAAUUUGUGAAAUCAGUCUUUCAGAAGUUAUUUUUAAUAUAGUUAUCUGUGUUACAGGUUUAUAAGUUGACAUUUCAAUUUAAAAUUUUUUCAAUUUAUAUUUCAAUGACCAGGAAAAAAUAGUUAAACUUAUUCCUAAAUUUUAAUAGAAAAAUAAAAAACCACAUAGUUGUUAAUUUCUGGUAAUUUAUCUUGAGACUCCAGGCAUGUUUUUAGAACAUUUUUACCUUAAAAGCAAUUUUGAAAUAGGGAAAUUAAAGUUUAAAGCAGAGUUUUCACUUUAAUGAGGUAAUUUUAUACUUCCCAGAUAGGUAGGCCCAUAUUCAAGAACACUCUGAUCUCUGUUUAUAGUAAGUUUUGAUGCCAUUAUAUCAUUUACUUAUUCACGCAUUAUAAGCAUAGUAGAUAGCCCCAUUGUCACGAAGCUGGCAUUAUUUUCUUGUCUGUCAUUCAAUAUUGUCCCCUUUUUUUUUUCUGUUUUCAUCAUAGCCGUCCUUUUCAUUUUAUUGUAGCCCUGACUCGAAAUGAAAGUAAGUUUGAACUCUUAAAAAAGAGUUCCUCAAACUCUUUUUUAAGAAUAUACAGUGAAAUGUCUUAAAUAAUAUUAUCUAAAUAAUACCUAAAGAAUGCAAAUGACUUGCAAUGCUGAAUAGUCAGACACAGGAUGUUCCAUGCUAAGGGUAGACUCAUAUUUCCACUUUAUAAAAUGUGGUUUCAGAAAACAAAUAGAUGUGUUUCUUCCUUAAUAAUUAGUGUUUCAGGACCAAAGUUGACUAAAUAUGGAAGUUUAAGAUAAAACCCGGUUUCUUAGGGAAUCUUUCUCAGUCCUUAGUAAUUCUGUAGAAUUGAUGAUAGAGUGGCAACUUCAAUACACUCAGUAUUCUUUUCUGUUUGAAGUCUGUUUUGCCAUUGGAAAAAACUUAUUGUUGUUUGAAUUUGGGUAUAUGUAUUCACAGAUGGUUUACUUUAUUUUUAUUUUGUUUAAACAAAUACUUUCAUGUCCCAAACACUGAGACAUGUUUCAUGUCCUAAACACUUUAUAAAUAUUAGAAUAUUUAAUCCCCUUAACUCUGUAGUUAUAAUUAUCUUCAUUUUACAAUUGAGAAAACUAAGAUACGACGUUUUAUUUAAUGGUAACGCCUUAAGUAAGGGGAGAGUGAUAAGUGUAAGCAGAGUGGAAAACUUAGUAGUGCUAAGGAGCAACAGAAGUAUGUGCAAGAGUUUGGGAAGAUGUGUCUGCUUGGAAAGGAUCAGGGACUCAGCUGGGAUCAGUCUUAAAGAGCAACAUGUCCUCAUUCCUCAAUUUUAAGCCUUUGGGCUCUAGAAGUAAAGGGCAAACUUAGAGGAGGCACUCCUCAGGUUUCAGCUGCCUGUUCCGGCCUGGUGAGGUGGCUGUACUGGCUCAUGUGUUUCUCAUAGGGCUACAUGAGCCUUUAUGUCUUACCUCCUCCUCAUUUCUUGGCUGACUCCUGCUUUUUUGGAGGGUUUAACUUCUCUCUCAGCUAGAAGGUUAGGCAUUGCAAAUACCAGUGGAUAAUUUUUUUCUUAGCUUUAACCCCAGCCCAUUUCAACCCCCUCUUUGCCCUUUGUAUAUUCUUUUGAAAAUAUGAUCCAGUAGUGUUUAUGAAUGUGUGUUGUGUAAAAUUUAGAGAUUGAUGUUAAACAACAGAAUUAAAGGACAAAGCUGUCUUUUUUGUUGGAAUUGGGGAUGGGAGAGCAGCUCAAAGUGGGAAAUAUGGAGAAAGGAGAGACAUUGUGGAAAAGAAGAGAUAAAUUGAGGGGAAAAAAAGAGGAUGAAAAAAUGAAGAGAGAGAAUUACUGAUGUGCUUCACACCCACACCUCCUCUCCAACUUCACAGUAACAGAGGCAAUGUCACUAUCUUUUACCUGACAAGUGCUUUACCAGGGAGUUGUGCCUGGCAUCGUGGGAGUGGAAAAUUUUUCCCUUUUGCAUUUUGAGACUUGGGUGUGCUGCUUUAAGAUGCCACUGGUAUCUAAGUAAUGUUUGUUUAUACUGGAUAUUUUUCUCUGUAGCCUUUGUGGAUUGGACUUAUAAUAUAAACAAUAUUGUUAGCAGAACUGCAGGUACUCUAUUGCUAUGUUUAUUUUAUUAGUUAAAAAACUACCAGAGCCCUAGGACUUCUGAGCACAUUUAGAAAAUACCAGAGGCAAUUUUAAGACUAGCAUUAGAAAGAAAGAAAAGAAUAAGAAUAAAACUAAGACUUGCAUACCUUAGAAUCCUAACCAAUGUGGUGAUUUUUAAAAAUUAAUGUUUCAGAGACUCUAAAUUAGGGUAGUUGGUUUCAUCAAUUACAUUUUUUAAGUUAAUAUAAAGUGCUUUUGUAUGUAAAUUCUCUUAAUAGAUAAUUUAGGUAAAAUGAAAGUGUGGCAUUUUUUGUUCCAUAGAAUGUAAAACUAACGUCAGAAUAAGAAUUCUUUUGGGAAUUUAGGAUUUUUUUGAUGCUUCUCAAAUCAUCUGUAAUGACUUUUAUUUAUAGAAAAGGUAGAUUAUUCAUUAGUUUUUAUGAAAAACACUCAGUUUAAAUAGCCGGGUAUGGUGGCGCAUGGCUGUAGUCCCAGCUACUCAGGAGGCUGGGCACGAGAAUUGCUUGAACCUGUGAGGCAGAGGUUGCAGUGAGCCAAGAUCGCACCACUGCACUCCAGCCUGGUCCAGAGUGAGAUUCCGUCUCGAACAAAACAAAACAAAAAUAUUGAGCUAAUCUAAAUGGUAAAAAUCUAGAUUUGAAGAAAUUUAUUUUAAAAUAGUUGUUCAUUUGUCAAAUAGAAAAGUAUGAUCUUAGCAGGUUUGGUUAGAUCCCUAUCUGAAACAAAGUAAACUAAAGAUGUUUUUCUUGAUCAAUGCAUAGCAAUAACUGCUGUUCAAACAUGUGAGGAAUCACCAGUAAAUUGGGGGAUAGAAAGCAGGAAAAGGAGCUUUUUUCUCUUAUUUUUUUUCAUUUAUCAGUUUUUCCCAUUUGUCCAUCCUUUCCUAUAAUCAUGGAAAUUUUUAUUUUUUACACUCCUCUCCCCAUUUUUUUAUCCUAGAUUGCCACCACACCAAGGUUUUCUAGAGUUAGGCAGAAAGAGAACCUGGGCCUAGAUGCUAAUGGAAACUAUCCCAUGCUUUCUCAGACUCUCUUUCCUCCCCAGAGACAAGAGGAGCAAAACAGGAGUUGAUGGCUCAUUGCUGUUGCUUCUGUGGCUGCCCUGUUUGGUUGACCUGAGCUUUUUUUAAAAACCUCCACUCUUGACGCUUAACUCUAUGAAUAAAAUUAGGGCCAGUCACACUGUAUUUUCAUCAUCAGUUAUCCCUAGUGAUUCAAAUUUAGCACAAACCUGCUGUGAGUACAUAUUAAUUAGGUGAAUACAGUAGAAUGCAAUCAUAACAUGAGUCUUUUAAUAACUAUUCUUUGUUUGAUUUUUAUUUUAGAAGUUUGAAGUUAUUUUGUUGAAAAUCUAGAAAAUCUUUAUGUGAGCAACUGAGGUUCGGGUAGCCCACAACAGUUUAAAUCAAACAUUAACUUGCAGUAAAACACUACUGAAAGUGUCUUUGAUUUUGAGGUGCAGAGAGCUGUUUCAAGUUAAGUUGCUAUAUUAGUCUGUUCUCAUGCUGCUAAUAAAGACAUACCUGCAACCGGGCAAUUUAUUAAAAAAAAAAAGAGGUUUAAUUGACUGACAGUUCCACAUGGCUGGGGAGGCCUCACCGUCAUGGUGAAAGAGCAAGGGAUGUCUUACAUGGUGGCAGGCAAGAAGUUUGUGCAGAGGAACUCCUGUUUAUAAAACCACCAGAUCUCAUGAGACUUACUCACUACCAGGAGAACAGGAUGCGGGAAACCACCUCGGUGAUUCAGUUAUCUGCACCUGGCCCCACCCUUGACACAUGUUGAUUAUUACAAUUCAAGGUGAGAUUUGGGUAGGUACACAGCCAAACCAUAUCAGCUGCCCAUUCUCCUGUGCAGUGACAUAAAGGUCUGAUAACCUGAUUUAAAGCUUGGACUCUAAGAUUUUUUUUUUUCUUUUUUUGAGUCAGGUUAUCUCUGUCGCUCAAGCUGGAGUUCAGUGGCAUGAACAGGGCUCAUUGCAGCCUCAACCUUCCAGGUUCAAGUGAUUCUCUUGCCUCAACCUCCUGAGUAUCUGGGGCUACAGGCAUGUGCCACCGUGCCAGGCUAAUAUUUUUAUUUUUAUUUUUGUAAAGAUGGGGUCUCACUUCUGGGCUCAAGCAAUCUUUCCUCAGCCUCCCAAAGUGCUGGGAUUAUAGGUGCGAGCCACUGCACCCUGCUGUAAAGAAUUUCAUAUCCCUGUUUUCGGUGUGCUGUGUCACUGUUUGCCAUGGGUAAAGGUAUAUGAAUCUCUUUUAUUUUGCUGCUUGCAACCCAAUUCCCAUGCCAAACCCAAUUUGUAUCCAAACAAACAAUAUUGGAGACAAGUUCUUCUAUAGAAAGCUUCAUAAGCCAGUUACUGACUACUGUGUCUGUAAAUAUACUCAAACUAUUUUGUAGUCUUGCUAUUUUAAAAAAUGUGUGGGUGUGGGAAGUGAUGUUGAAUGAAUUCAGGGUAAUUGGUGGUUCUUUGUAUUAGGAAAACUCACUAGUUAAGGGAAGUCUGUUUUCAUGAUUCAUGUAUGUUUAACUUAAAAAAAAAUUCUUCCAUCCUUCUCUCCAGUUUCCACUCUACCUCAUAAAUUCAAGUAAUGAAGGAAUUUAAAUAAUAGAAUUUUAUAACUGAAAGGAUUUUGGAGAGAAUCUAUUAACCCUCCUACUACAGUUGAGGAAAUAGAUGUCCAGUGAGGUCAAAUGAGAUCAUGUAGCUAGUUUAAAAACCCAAAUAACAUUUUAGUAGUUUGUUUCCAUUAGUAAACACUGUUCUGUUUGAUUUGCCCUAACAUGUUCAUAAUCAGAGUCAUAAUAAGGAAAAAUCACUAAUAUGUGUGUGGUACUUUCUUGUGCAUACCUCAGUCACUUCUCAAAAGAGGUCUGUAAGGUGUCGGUAUCCUGGUUUCCAUUCAGGGAGAGAACAGUCUAUGAGCCUAAGAGACCUGUCUGUGCCAGUCACUAUCAGAACAGUCUAAUGCUAUGUGUCUUCCUACCUUGGCAAAAGCAUUGGCUGGUCUCUGGACAGUUCUCAUAGACCACAGGAUUGGGCAGGGGGGAGCCACAUCUUCAUGUUAGGGCUCUAACCUGUACCAAUUAUUAACUGUUGUCUCUAUUUCAUCAUUUCUUAAAGGGAAAAAAAAGCACUUUUUAAAGAGCAUGAGAUUUUAAAUUUUUCAAAAGAAGGAUGCUGGAUCAUUAUAAGUAAGGCAUGUUUUAAAGAUCUUCUUAUCAACAGCUUAAAAAUUAGCCAGUAUAUACUGAACAUCCACUGUAUAAAAAGCACAUUAUGGGGUGCUCCAGUAGGUACAGCAGUGAUCGAGACAGAAUCAUAGCCUUCAGGGAAGAGGUAUAUGCAAUGUUCUCUCCUUCCAAAGAUUACCUAGAUAGAGAACUGUUCAUAAGAAAUAUCUUGGUACUGUCUACAUUACUCUUGAGAUAUAAAAUAUAUAUUAUUUCUUACGUCUGAAAUGAGUCAGUUGUUUCUAAAACAAUUUGUAUUAAAGUAUUCACAUUAAAAAUUUGUAAAAUACAGAAAAGUAGAGAGAAAAAAUCAUGAAUUUUUAACAUGGUAAUGAUUAUAUCAGUUUCGUUCUUGGCGUUUCUUUAACUUGAUGGGAUAGCUAAUGUUUUUUGUCAUUGCAUAGCUUUGUAAACUUGUCCUAAGGAUUAUAUAAUUUCAGCAUGAGUUAGUUUCUAAGUAUGUCAGAAAUCUAGCUUUUUUGUGGUAAUUGUUGUUUUACACAAAAUGAUUAAUAAAAGACUCUAAACUAACCUUGGCUUUAGAAAUGCUUUUUAAAUUUUAAAAUAGUGAAUGAGUAGCAGAUUACUUUCUAGUAUUUCUUUAAGGUCACCAAAAUCACUUAACUUGCUUAAAAUAUUGAUGGAAAUAUCAACUACGUACAGUUGACCUAAAUUAGAAAUGGGUGUUUUUUAAAUAGUGAAAUUUAUAAAUAUAAUAUGUAUAUUUUAAAAUACAGUUUAUAUUAUAGAGUUAUGUUCCUCUGUAAUAAUUUCUCUUUACACUGAAUCAUGUUCAGUUUUUAUUAUGCAGAUAAUUUAAUCUUACAGCUUUGAUCUUUUUUAAAAAAUAAAACAGCCAUUUGGAGUCUAAA